ensembl:lncRNA
GGUGUUGAGUAGGUUUGUUUGUGUCAGGUGAGAGGAUGUUCGUGUAGGUGUUGAGUAGGUUUGUGUCAGGUGAGAGGAUGUUCGUGUAGGUGUUGAGUAGGUUUGUGUCAGGUGAGAGGAUGUUCGUGUAGGUGUUGAGUAGGUUUGUUUGUGUCAGGUGAGAGGAUGUUCGUGUAGGUGUUGAGUAGGUUUGUGUCAGGUGAGAGGAUGUUCGUGUAGGUGUUGAGUAGGUUUGUGUCAGGUGAGAGGAUGUUUGUGUAGGUGUUGAGUAGGUUUAUGUCAGGUGAGAGGAUGUUCGUGUAGGUGUUGAGUAGGUUUAUGUCAGGUGAGAGGAUGGGUUCGUGUAGGUGUUGAGUAGGUUUGUUUGUGUCAGGUGAGAGAGGAUGUUCGUGUAGGUGUUGAGUAGGUUUGUGUCAGGGUGAGAGGAUGUUCGUGUAGGUGUUGAGUAGGUUUGUGUCAGGUGAGAGGAUGUUCGUGUAGGUGUUGAGUAGGUUUGUGUCAGGUGAGAGGAUGUUCGUGUAGGUGUUGAGUAGGUUUAUGUCAGGUGAGAGGAUGUUCGUGUAGGUGUUGAGUAGGUUUGUUUGUGUCAGGUGAGAGGAUGCUCGUGUAGGUGUUUGAGUAGGUUUAUGAACACUGUGC